AUGCGAUGAGUCGAUUAUGGUUUUUAACCAUAUUUGCGCAGGGGAGGUCAUUAAGGCAGGAGCCGACUUUGAUAAAUUGUGUGAACCUUUUUAUCACAUUCUUUGGGUGCCCCUGAUUCCUGUCAAAUUGACAGGAAUCUUU
rnacentral:sRNA from 1 species